CAAGCGGUGGAGCAUGUGGUUAAUUCGAAGCAACGCGAAGAACCUUACCUGGUCUUGACAUCCCGGAGACCCUUAGGAAACUAGGGGGUGCUUCCAUCUGGAAGAAUCUGGAGACAGGUGCUGCAUGGCUGUCGUCAGCUCGUGUCGUGAGAUGUUGGGUUAAGUCCCGCAACGAGCGCAACCCUUGCCUUUAGUUGCCAGCAGUUCGGCUGGGCACUCUAAAGGGACUGCCGGUGUUAAACCGGAGGAAGGUGGGGAUGACGUCAAGUCCUCAUGGCCUUUAUGACCAGGGCUACACACGUACUACAAUGGCCGAUACAAAGGGCAGCGACACUGCGAGGUGAAGCCAAUCCCGUAAAAUCGGUCUCAGUCCGGAUUGGAGUCUGCAACUCGACUCCAUGAAGUUGGAAUCGCUAGUAAUCGUGGAUCAGCAUGCCACGGUGAAUACGUUCCCGGGCCUU
rnacentral:rRNA from 1 species